ACGUAGGGUGCAAGCGUUAUCCGGAAUUACUGGGCGUAAAGAGCUCGUAGGUGGUUUUUUAAGUUUGAAGUGAAAGCCUAUAGCUUAACUAUUGUAGUGCUUGCGAAACUGGAAGACUUGAGUGCAGGAGAGGAAAAUGGAAUUCCUGGUGUAGCGGUGAAAUGCGUAGAUAUCAGGAGGAACACCGGUGGCGAAGGCGACUUUCUGGACUGUAACUGACGCUGAGGCGCGAAAGCGUGGGGAGCAAACAG
rnacentral:rRNA from 1 species